rnacentral:lncRNA from 1 species
GCUGGACCAUUAACCAAAGUGACGAUUUGUAAAGACAAGGAAGGAAAACCUAAGUCUUUUGGAUUUGUCUGCUUUAAGCACAAAGAAUCAGUGCCUUAUGCAAUAGCGUUGCUGAAUGGAAUCCGUUUGUAUGGAAGACCAAUUAAAGUACGGUAUCGGUUUGGGAGUUCACACUCUUCAGAACUAAACAGCCCAACACAUGGUUUUGAGAACUAUGUUGACUUAUAUUCACCUUCAUAUAGGUAUCAAGAGCCUUAUGGAAAUCCUCCAUUUCCUGUUACUCCUUUUCCAAUGAACAAUUGUUUACCUCAGGAAUACUCUGUCUUUCAGAAGAUGAUGAACCAUUUUUUAGAACAGCAGUACGCAGUUCACAGUCCAGUGGGUCAGCAAUUUCCUUACUACCAGAUGACUCUGCCACUGCCUUCAAGCUUAUCCAUUCCUCCCUAUCAGAAUCAAGCUGCAAAUUUUAAGUCUGGGCAUAGUUCUUUUGAGUUGGCCGUGCCACAUUCAAGUGAUGGAAAAGUGUACCAGAUGGAUGAAAGCACGUCUAAAAGAAAGAGAGAACAGCAAAGUUGUGAUAGUGACACUAGUACUGAAGAUGACAGAAUGAAACAAAGAGAUCAUGACCAAAAAUACAAUAAGUGCAAAGCCAAGAAAAAAAGGCAUUAAUACUGUAAUACUGGAUUAUUUUUACUCAUAUUUUCUAUUUUUAUUUGAGAGCAAUUCACUCAUUGUUGCACUUUAUUACAAAAGGAAUGUACAAGACUCAUUAAUUUUGAAAUACAUUGUGCAUAAAUGAUACUGAUACUUUAUUUAACCUCAAC